AAAACGGCCCUUUUCAGGGCCACAAUUCUAUAUUAUAAAGAGUUUU
rfam:Phlebotomus papatasi Contig85535.1, whole genome shotgun sequence.